GUCCUGUCGGAAAAGCUCGUUUACUCUGCUCGGGUCUCCAGUGGUUUAAGGAUAAUGUUUAUCAGAAGUGAACGUGCUCAACUUGUUUCCAUUCAACUGCUGAGUGUGGGCUGAAAUACCAAAGGUCAGAUCUACAGUGAGUCGGUAGAGGGCAGGGGGAGACGAGAGGAAUAUGAAAACAUAAUAUACAACAGCCUGUUGAUCGCUUCUGACCUGCCUGGCAAAAAGAUUAAUUUUUUCAGGAACCAAUUGGGAAUUCCUAGGCAAUUUUCUCCGUUUCUGCCUUUGCUUCUGCAACACCUAGUACCACUGCCACCUACAGGAAUAAUUGCAUUUUCAAGCUAUUUUCAAGUAACCAGAAGCGUUUGAGAGUCCUGGUAGCUCUGUCGUCUUCCUGGACGCGCAGCAGCAAGUCUGACUUCGAAAGGCAUUGUUUUUCUCCGUGGCUUUCGUUUGAGAUCACACACUGAUGCAGGUUCGCUCCUCUGUGGCACGGCAGUGGGAGGGACGGAGCCUUUCCCCAGGGACCCCGGGAGACGCAGCCAGCAAAGGUCAUAUUUGUCUGCCUGCAAGGAUGCAAACCUGAAAACCUUCCCUCGGAUCCAUGGGGCAACAGUCCCUUCAAGUUGAUCACAGUGAAUGGAAAGAACAAGUCCUCUCAGACAAACUAGUGUGUUAAAUCCACCAAGCCAGGCAGAUGUGUCAGACAUGGCUGGAGGCAGGUCUAAGCUGCAUUUCACUGGGUUUGAAGUCACAGGCAGAUCAUCUGUGAUGGACUCAGUCCUAGAGGGCAAAGGGAUUUACAGCAAGGAUCUAUUCCACUAUAAAAGGACACCAAGAAGAGCUUUGCUUUGAAAUCCUAAUCUAUGCUGCAAGUUCAAGUUUGCUCAGCUUCCACUGGCUUCAAUGAAUGUCAUCUGUACUCACACAGCUGUAAAAUGUUAUUUAUACCUACAAGUCUAGUGGGGUCAGAGCUCCACAGAAAUGGUGUAAGAGAAGAAGCCAGAGUUGCCUUCCUGUAAGUGGAGGAUUGUCCACAAGACAAGUCAGGUCCAUAGCAACAGAACUUUGAUUUUGCAAAUCACGUUUCAUCUAGAUAGAAACUGUAUUUAUUUUGAAAGAAAUAUUUAUUCUCCUGUUUAAUACCAUCUGACCUUUUAAAAGUGACUUUCAGUUUUAUAUGAUAAAACAAAAUAAUUUUCUUUCUAAUUUCUGUUUUGAAAAGUUUGGCUUGUUUCUGUUGUUUUGGUGUUUUGUUUUGUUUUGUUUUGUUUUAAAUAUGGACACAUAUAAAUUUAUUUAGCAUUUUGUGGAACGUUAUUGAUAAAAGAGACUGCAAGGAAGAAAUUAUUGAUGGAGAGGACUCUGUAUAAGCAGGAUAUCACUGCUUUUCGUAGAUCCUAGAAAUCAUAGCAGUUUUACCAAAAGCCAAGUGAAUUUCCUCAUUGGAACAUGUGAUCAGCUUGGAAAAAGUGUGGUUUUGUGCAAUCUGUUUCCUGCCCAGCUACAACUUUGCCUUUGGCUAGACUAGCACCACAAGUCAUAAUCAAUUAAAGUUCUUAUUUUUCCUUUCAGAACCAAGCAGUCAAGCUUUUUUUGUGAAAGUCUUAAUGGUGAGAAUAUGUGUAAGUGUGAAUGUUUUCCUAUGUCACUCAUAUUAAUGAAGGCUUGCAGGUGUAUUUGUAACACAUUUUCUGAAGUAACUUGCACAAAAUAUUUUUUCUUUUCCUUCUCUUUAUGGAGACAGGCCCCCUCCAACAUCUGCAUGUAAAAUCAAAUUUUCUGGCAAACUUGACAUUCCAUACCACCAAUCAGACCAUGAACUUGUACCAAGUUUAAUCUCUUCUCUGGAAAA
ensembl:lncRNA